GUAGCCUCAGUGAAGCAUUUGGUCAGCUUCUUGAGAAAGGACUAUUCUCAGCAAGUGCCCAAUCAAGAAACACUUAACUGACAAUGGACUCUGGGAGACGCCAAUCCACAUCUGAGCUUUCCUGGGGAAGUUCAAACUAACAUGUGAACAAUGGCGUCAGCCUGCAAAAAGCUUAAUCAUUCAUGGACAUGUGACUUGCCCAGGUGCCUACAAACUCCAUCACGUUGCAUUGAUUGUGCACAGGAG